CAAAAUGAUGAAUACUUUUAUUCACACUGUGUGAUGGUGGGAGACCGCUUCAUGAGCACAUCAUAACAAAAUCUGAUUUAAUGAGCCUGACU
rnacentral:snoRNA from 1 species